rnacentral:rRNA from 1 species
AGAGUUUGAUUCUGGCUCAGAACGAACGCUGGCGGCGUGGAUAAGACAUGCAAGUCGAACGAGAGAAUUGCUAGCUUGCUAAUAAUUCUCUAGUGGCGCACGGGUGAGUAACACGUGAGUAACCUGCCCCCGAGAGCGGGAUAGCCCUGGGAAACUGGGAUUAAUACCGCAUAGAAUCGCAAGAUUAAAGCAGCAAUGCGCUUGGGGAUGGGCUCGCGGCCUAUUAGUUAGUUGGUGAGGUAACGGCUCACCAAGGCGAUGACGGGUAGCCGGUCUGAGAGGAUGUCCGGCCACACUGGAACUGAGACACGGUCCAGACACCUACGGGUGGCAGCAGUCGAGAAUCAUUCACAAUGGGGGAAACCCUGAUGGUGCGACGCCGCGUGGGGGAAUGAAGGUCUUCGGAUUGUAAACCCCUGUCAUGUGGGAGCAAAUUAAAAAGAUAGUACCACAAGAGGAAGAGACGGCUAACUCUGUGCCAGCAGCCGCGGUAAUACAGAGGUCUCAAGCGUUGUUCGGAAUCACUGGGCGUAAAGCGUGCGUAGGCUGUUUCGUAAGUCGUGUGUGAAAGGCGCGGGCUCAACCCGCGGACGGCACAUGAUACUGCGAGACUAGAGUAAUGGAGGGGGAACCGGAAUUCUCGGUGUAGCAGUGAAAUGCGUAGAUAUCGAGAGGAACACUCGUGGCGAAGGCGGGUUCCUGGACAUUAACUGACGCUGAGGCACGAAGGCCAGGGGAGCGAAAGGGAUUAGAUACCCCUGUAGUCCUGGCAGUAAACGGUGCACGCUUGGUGUGCGGGGAAUCGACCCCCUGCGUGCCGGAGCUAACGCGUUAAGCGUGCCGCCUGGGGAGUACGGUCGCAAGAUUAAAACUCAAAGAAAUUGACGGGGACCCGCACAAGCGGUGGAGUAUGUGGCUUAAUUCGAUGCAACGCGAAGAACCUUACCUGGGCUUGACAU